UACGGAGGGGGGCUAGCGUUGUUCGGAAUUACUGGGCGUAAAGCGCACGUAGGCGGCUUUGUAAGUUAGAGGUGAAAGCCCGGGGCUCAACUCCGGAAUUGCCUUUAAGACUGCAUCGCUAGAAUUGUGGAGAGGUAAGUGGAAUUCCGAGUGUAGAGGUGAAAUUCGUAGAUAUUCGGAAGAACACCAGUGGCGAAGGCGACUUACUGGGACACAUAUUGACGCUGAGGUGCGAAAGCGUGGGGGAGCAAACAGG
rnacentral:rRNA from 1 species